rnacentral:rRNA from 1 species
UACGAAGGGGGCUAGCGUUGCUCGGAAUCACUGGGCGUAAAGCGCACGUAGGCGGGUCUUUAAGUCGGAGGUGAAAUCCUGGAGCUCAACUCCAGAACUGCCUUUGAUACUGAGGAUCUUGAGUUCGGGAGAGGUGAGUGGAACUGCGAGUGUAGAGGUGAAAUUCGUAGAUAUUCGCAAGAACACCAGUGGCGAAGGCGGCUCACUGGCCCGAUACUGACGCUGA